AAAUUAGUUAGUAAACGAGGUCCCACCAUCUUUCAGCUGAUUCGUAACGAUAAGGACCCAAUUCCCAAAGAUAAAAAAGCAGGAAUCUACAUGAUCCCUCUGCACAGUCAAGAUGAAAAUUGUGACCAGGUUUGCAUCGGUAGCACUAGGCGUGGUCUACUAACCCGAAUCAGCGAGCGUGGAAUGGACAUAUCCAAAGGAAGGACGGUCACAGCCCUAGCAGGAGGCAUAUAUGAACAUGAUGUGGUUGUCGGCUGGAGCAGUGCUGGGGUGGUUGGGCCGGUGUCUGACAGCUUUGGGCUCGGCGUGCUGGAGGCGAUGGAG
rnacentral:lncRNA from 1 species